CAUCGACAAGAGCAAACUUGGCGAAAGCCAAGGACGCAAAGCUAUGGGUCUUCCAGAGUUCUUCUGAUGACUGCCAAGCCACCGAA
rnacentral:ncRNA from 1 species